rnacentral:rRNA from 1 species
ACAUGCAAGUCGAGCGGACCGACGGGAGCUUGCUCCCUUAGGUCAGCGGCGGACGGGUGAGUAACACGUGGGUAACCUGCCUGUAAGACUGGGAUAACUCCGGGAAACCGGGGCUAAUACCGGAUGCUUGAUUGAACCGCAUGGUUCAAUCAUAAAAGGUGGCUUUCAGCUACCACUUACGGAUGGACCCGCGGCGCAUUAGCUAGUUGGUGAGGUAACGGCUCACCAAGGCGACGAUGCGUAGCCGACCUGAGAGGGUGAUCGGCCACACUGGGACUGAGACACGGCCCAGACUCCUACGGGAGGCAGCAGUAGGGAAUCUUCCGCAAUGGACGAAAGUCUGACGGAGCAACGCCGCGUGAGUGAUGAAGGUUUUCGGAUCGUAAAACUCUGUUGUUAGGGAAGAACAAGUACCGUUCGAAUAGGGCGGCACCUUGACGGUACCUAACCAGAAAGCCACGGCUAACUACGUGCCAGCAGCCGCGGUAAUACGUAGGUGGCAAGCGUUGUCCGGAAUUAUUGGGCGUAAAGCGCGCGCAGGCGGUUUCUUAAGUCUGAUGUGAAAGCCCCCGGCUCAACCGGGGAGGGUCAUUGGAAACUGGGGAACUUGAGUGCAGAAGAGGAGAGUGGAUUCCACGUGUAGCGGUGAAAUGCGUAGAGAUGUGGAGGAACACCAGUGGCGAAGGCGACUCUCUGGUUCUGUAACUGACGCUGAG